CAAAGAUUCAGUGACGAGGGAAAUCUGAGAAGACAUACAAGAAGCCACACAGGAGAUCCGGACGAGACGCAUUCGGGGCUCCUGGGAUCCAGGAGACGCUGAUGAAGCCGAGCUGUUUCCUGAGGCUGCUGUUUCAUUCCAUCAGACGGUCUUCAUCCGGUUCUUCAUCCCCCUCGUGGUCAUCAAGUCUCAACGUUGGACAGAGUCAGGGUCACUGGAGCGCGAGUCGGACUGGAAGGAACUCUGCUGAAGUGGAUUUGACCUUCAGGACCGUCUCCUAACCCAGGGACCCGAUCGGAACUCUUUCAUUUGGUUGGACAUAACUUCUCCUGUAAAGUGUCCUCCAGCACUCAGUAGAAUCAUCUCCUCCUUCAGGUUUGAGUUUUGAAACAAGAGUACAUUCAUUAGUUUAAAUAUAUAUUUAUUUUUAUUGCUUUUAAUAUUAGCAUAAAACAAUCAGGUCAAAACUGUUUAGUAGUUUAGUGUCUUCAUGUUACCGACAUGUACGUUACCGUGUCCUAUUAAAACACAUUUUAAUCACUUA